UACGGAGGGUGCAAGCGUUAUCCGGAUUUACUGGGUUAAAGGGUGCGUAGGCGGGUCUUUAGUCAGGGGUGAAAUCCUGGAGCUCAACUCCAGAACUGCCUUUGAUACUGAAGAUCUUGAGUUCGGGAGAGGUGAGUGGAACUGCGAGUGUAGAGGUGAAAUUCGUAGAUAUUGCAAGAACACCAGUGGCGAAGGCGGCUCACUGGCCCGAGUACUGACGCUGAGGCACGAAAGCGUGGGGAGCAAACAGG
rnacentral:rRNA from 1 species